GAUGAACGCUGGCGGCGUGCCUAAUACAUGCAAGUCGAGCGAACAGACGAGGAGCUUGCUCCUCUGACGUUAGCGGCGGACGGGUGAGUAACACGUGGAUAACCUACCUAUAAGACUGGGAUAACUUCGGGAAACCGGAGCUAAUACCGGAUAAUAUAUUGAACCGCAUGGUUCAAUAGUGAAAGACGGUUUUGCUGUCACUUAUAGAUGGAUCCGCGCCGCAUUAGCUAGUUGGUAAGGUAACGGCUUACCAAGGCGACGAUGCGUAGCCGACCUGAGAGGGUGAUCGGCCACACUGGAACUGAGACACGGUCCGGACUCCUACGGGAGGCAGCAGUAGGGAAUCUUCCGCAAUGGGCGAAAGCCUGACGGAGCAACGCCGCGUGAGUGAUGAAGGUCUUCGGAUCGUAAAACUCUGUUAUUAGGGAAGAACAAAUGUGUAAGUAACUAUGCACGUCUUGACGGUACCUAAUCAGAAAGCCACGGCUAACUACGUG
rnacentral:rRNA from 1 species